rnacentral:rRNA from 1 species
GAUGAACGCUGGCGGCGUGCCUAAUACAUGCAAGUCGAGCGAACAGACGAGGAGCUUGCUCCUUUGACGUUAGCGGCGGACGGGUGAGUAACACGUAGGUAACCUACCUAUAAGACUGGGAUAACUUCGGGAAACCGGAGCUAAUACCGGAUAAUAUUUCGAACCGCAUGGUUCGAUAGUGAAAGAUGGCUUUGCUAUCACUUAUAGAUGGACCUGCGCCGUAUUAGCUAGUUGGUAAGGUAACGGCUUACCACGGCAACGAGAGGUAGCCGACCUGAGAGGGUGAUCGGCGACAUUGGAGGGGAGACACGCACAAGAGUCCUACGGGAGGCAGCAGUAGGGAAUCGUACGCAAUGGGCGAAAGCCUGACGGAGCAACGCGGCGUGAGUGAUGAAGGCCUUCGGAGCGUAAAACUCGGUUAUUAGUGAAGAACAAACUUGUAAGUAACUGUGCAGGUCUUGACGGUACCGAAUCAGAAAGCCACGGCUAACUACGUG